rnacentral:rRNA from 1 species
UACGUAGGGUGCGAGCGUUGUCCGGAAUUAUUGGGCGUAAAGGGCUCGUAGGCGGUUUGUCGCGUCGGGAGUGAAAACACUGGGCUUAACCGAGUGCUUGCUUUCGAUACGGGCAGACUUGAGGCAUUGAGGGGAGAACGGAAUUCCAGGUGUAGCGGUGAAAUGCGUAGAUAUCUGGAGGAAUACCGGUGGCGAAGGCGGCAUCCUGGACCGGCAUUGACGCUGAGGAGCGAAAGCUAGGGGAGCAAACGGG